UGGUUUGUGAAGUCUUAGCCUCAUCAGUCCCUCUCUGCAGUAAAGUCGAGACUUGCUGCAGAGAAUCUCAGAAAAACAUUCAUGUCAUCAAAUUCACGGGGGCUCAGAGGGGAUCCACUCUUUCACACAACAGUCCAAGCUUACUGUUUAGCCCACGUAAAGUCUGAGUGACUGCGCAAGUGCUGAAGAGGUACUGGGGCAGCUAAGACUUCACUAACCACGACUGAGGCAUGUUACUCAUUCAUACACUUCUAUAGCCGACUGACACCUUAACCAACUCAGCUGCUGCACGAUCAGCCUCUCCACGGUUAAAACCAGUUAAGAGCAAAGCAGCUGUCCCUUCAAGAAUCCUUUCAUGUCAAGAACUAAAUGAGGGGCAUGACAUUAUUCACUAAAACACAUACUAGAUGAUGCUACCAACCUUAAAAAGCAGCACAAUAGCCAUCUAGAACGUACUAGUUAAAGGGAUAGUCCACCCUAAAUAUUCAAUUCAUGCACUUCCAAACCUCUGUGACUCACUCUGAAGAAUAUUGGGAAACACUGGAAGCCAGUUAAAUUUCAAUGCAAUGACAAAAAAAAUGAGUGUGUAUAUAUUUUUUUAAAUAUACGUAAAAAGUGCUGGGUAGAUAGAUAUUUUGAGAAAUAUAUCAGUGUUCCACAGAAGAAAGUCACACAGGUAAGUAAAUGACCAUUUGAAUUUUAGGGUGGACUAUCCCUUUAAAACUGACUGAGACAAAUGAGACCGGUACAGAUUCGAUUUGGAAAUGUAAUUGCUAACCUCACAAGGAGCUUCAAGUCAUGUACAAUCACAAUCCUGAACAUUAAAAAAAAACCCUGACAGACCUGUGACAUAUUUUGAAAUGUUUUCAGUGCAGCACUCUCAACUGUGGUCUGCUUCCAAAAAUCAAUGUGCUUUUGCCUCAGGCAAACGGAGCACAAAAUCAAACAGGAUAAUAUGGACAAGGGAAUAAAAUCUAAAGAGUUGUUUUAAGACUGCAGUUUCAACAUUACUCUUUUGACAAAUUUAUAAAUUGACCAUACCUGGAAAACAUAAUAUUUACUUGUUUCCUCAUAAAAAUCCUAUUCAGGCUUUUAGAAGCUACAGAAAGAUGACAAAGUAUUUUUGCCAAGUUGUCGCCCAUUCAUGUCACUGCUUGUGUCAUUUAGAAGUAAUCCACAAUGGACAGAUGAUUCAAACCAGUUACCAAGUAACCUGAUUGUUAGGUUCAAGCUGCUACUACUUGCAGAGUAGUUACAUUUAGCUACGGCAGCCUUGACAUUUCUAUAGACACUAAUGGAAAAGACGAGGGGAAAAGAAGAAAAUAAAAUGCUUGACAAGCCUCCAUUCAUUGAGCGUGAGGAAGUAUGCUGACGCAGCACUCUCAGGACAAAUCUCACAAUAAUACAGCAGCACAAGCUCCAGGCCUCUGUUGUUGCAGAACUAACAAAGUUGCACCGGUAACCAAGAAACCAACAAUCCCCUGCAAACAAAGUUCGUUCAAGCUCAAACACUCUUGAGCGUCACCACUUAAAUUCUUGGCUGCAGCUAUUCAGCCAAAGGGAUCUUAAAGGGACAGUACUCUAUUUCUCGAGCCUGUAAGAAGCAUAAAUCUUUGAAUGGAUGGAAUUAUCGCAAUCCAAGUGUUACAAUCAUAUUUCUAAGCAAGGUACAUGGUGCAUCCUGGCUUUUGAAGGGGGAUGGGGUGCAAUCAAACUAAAACGGCGUGCACAAAGGAUUAGGCCAAUACCACCUCAUCAGCAAAUGCUAUUCUUAGUCCAGCCACUUUUAACAGCAGUUGCUCUCUGCCUUAAUUCAGGAUGAACCUUCAGUGUAAAACGGUCUUCCUGAUUUUUACCAAGCAUUUAUCAACAAAGAACAUAACUUGAACCUUGGGAUUGAAAAUAAGAAAAAGAAAAAAAAAAGACUCUAAAAGCCAUGUAUAACGUCACAGAGGAAAUAGAUCACAAAGCUCAGCUGGGAAAAAAAGCUGUCUGCGUGGGUUGAUGGCACACCGUCACUAUAUUAAAACCCCCGGUCCUGUGGCCAAUUAGACAUCCCAUUUACUUUAUUAUACAGAUGAUACGAUAUAUAGCACGAUACAACUUUAAAUAUCAAACUGCCAGAAAAUUCUAAUCUACUCUGAAACAUUCCCACAACCUACAAACAAGGCUACUUGAUAAAUCCUGUAGACAUCACAAAGUAGUUUAAUCAGACUGCAGAUGUUAAAUUUAGGACAAAUUUAGGCCUAUUAAGCACCAAAGGUAACUCUGAUAGAACUGAGAUGUAUACCAUUGAUAGUGAUAAACACCCAAACCGAAUACUGCGGUAGUCCAGGGCACUAAAGGACAGAGCAGUGGAAGAGGAGUGACAGCAGCUUUUCCACUUAACUGUGCCCUUCCAAGUGUCAAGCCUACUCUGCAUUAGAUGCACAACAGAUUUAGACUACAUUAAAGCCUACACCAUCUGAACAGGACUACUUAUCGCUAAUGUAGUGCGAAACAGACUCUAUAUGCUCAUUAACAUCCAUUUUAAUCGUCAACAGGAAACAUAAUAUGAUGGACGAAAAAUAAAAGCGCUCCAAGUCCAAGUCCAUAUACCUAGAAUGGGCUACGCCUUCUGCUGGAAAGAAGAUCCACAACUAGAAUCACAAAAAAAAUAUCACUGUUGAGUCAUCACAUGAACAUAGAACAACAUUACAGUUCCCUCAACACCAAACAUAUAGAAAAGUACAGUAAGAGUCAAUGAAGAGAUGUGUAAAUGACAUGAUCUUGGUUAGACUGUGGUUAGAAAUCACUCCCACGUAUCCAUGUUUGUACUGAAGAGACCAAUAUAAUCAAGACUAACAAGUGUUAGAUCCAGGAACAAUGAUUGGGAGAAAUCUGUCAAAUAGAGCAUCCCAUUUAGAAAGGGGUUAAUUUGAGGGAUGGUUAUCUGACAUUCACAGAAAAGAUUAUGAAGCCAACCCUUCGUCCCAGAGAAGAAUAUACAUUUUUUGGUACAAAGUUAGUAGUCAAAUUUCCCAAGGACGUCUUUGCUUUUGAAAGACAUACCAAUUGAAAAUUGUUUUUUUUUUUUGUUUUUUUGGAGUGGGGUGCAUCCUUGAACUAACACCGUUUCUUUGCAUUUCAUGAAUCUUUUGGGGAGCAAAUGUUGCAAAUCCACUUUUGUUUUUACAAAUGUGAGCAAUUGGUGUCUUUGUUUUGUGCUGAAAACGUCGCUUGGCUUUU